rnacentral:rRNA from 1 species
CCAGCAGCUGCUGUAAUUCCAGCUCCAGUAGCGUAUAUUAAAGUUGUUGCAGUUAAAAAGCUCGUAGUUGGAUUUCUGGCUGACCGGGUACAGUCCGUCGUCCUCAGGGCGAUGUGUACUGUCUUGCGUUUGCCAUCCUUCCAGGGAGCCGUGCCUACCGUUCGCGGCAGGGCGCGUGCGAUCUGGAUCUUUUACUUUGAAAAAAUUAGAGUGUUCCAAGCAAGCUUACGCUUUGAAUACAUUAGCAUGGAAUAAUAAUAUAGGACUUCUGUUCUAUUUUGUUGGUUUCUAGGACCGAAGUAAUGAUUGAUAGGGAUAGUUGGGCGUGCUAGUACUAAGCGGCCAGAGGUGAAAUUCUUGGAUUUGCUCAAGACUAACAACUGCGAAAGCAUUUGCCAAGGAUGUUUUCA